ACACGUAGGGGGCGAGCGUUAUCCGGAAUUACUGGGCGUAAAGAGUGCGUAGGUGGCUUUGCAAGCGUAGGGUAUAAGGCGACAGCCCAACUGUCGUUGGCCCCGCGAACUGUAAGGCUUGAGUACAGGAGGGGAAGGCGGAAUUCCUAGUGUAGCGGUGAAAUGCGUAGAUAUUAGGAGGAACACCAGUGGCGAAGGCGGCCUUCUGGACUGUAACUGACACUGAGGCACGAAAGCGUGGGUAGCAAACAGGAUUAGAUACCCUGGUAGGCCACGCCGUAAACGAUGAGCACUAGGUGUCGGGCUCGCAAGAGUUUGGUGCCGGAGCAAACGCAUUAAGUGCUCCGCCUGGGGAGUACGCACGCAAGUGUGAAACUCAAAUGAAUUGGCGGGG
rnacentral:rRNA from 1 species